rnacentral:lncRNA from 1 species
AUACUAUUAGUCCUUUGAGAGACUGGAAGCUUUUUGGUAACGUCCACAAGUUUUGCAUCUAAAAUUUUAAAAUGGAGAAAAUAAACAUCACAGCAGAGACAGAAGUUUCUUCUGAUAAAUUAUCUUCUAAUGAACCAGCUAAUCCAAAGUGUAAUGAAUGUGGAAAGAUGCUUAAUCAAGAAAGAGAAAUGGAUUCCAUCCUUUCACUGGAUGAGGCACAUCAGGAACUGAAGGUCAAAUUGGAAAAAAAGGACCAAAUGUUGGAACUAAAGGAAGAGGAAAUCACUUACCUUACAUUUUUACUGGAUGAGAUGGAAAAAGAAUUAGACAUGAAAAAUAUCCAGUGGGAGCAAAGCCUUGAACUUAAACUGGAGGAGCUACGUGAGAAGGUCCAGGCUCAGAAGAAGCAGUUGGAUGAAGUAAAGGCUGCUUUGUUGGACAUGACAAACAAGCUUCAGAACAAUGAACAAAUGUUCUUAAAGCAGACAGAUGAACAACAAAAAACGAUUUCAGAUUUGGAGGCCACUCUGAAAAUGAAGGAGGAGGACCUAAAAAGCCGCACAGACCAAUGGAACCAACUGGAGGAGAAUGAAAAAGCUGUGAAAGCGAUCACAGAAAAGGAAGCUCUCUGCAAUAAUGAGAACCAGUCAACACAAACGCAGGUACUACAGACUGCCCUGGAUGAAGCACAGAAAAAAAUUGUGGAAAUGGAAGAGGAGCGGUCCAACCACAUCAAGACUAUGUCCAUCAUGAAGGCCACGCUCACUGAAACACAGGAAGCCUUCACCAAAUUGAAAGCCACAAUUCAGGAGCAGAAGCAGGAGAAGGAGAAAGAGAAGGAGAAGGAGGAGAAGAAGGAGAAGGAGGAAGCAAAUGAGAAGGAGGAGAAGAAGGAGAAGGAGCAAAAGAAGGAGAAGAGGCAGAAGCAGGAAGAAGAAGGAGAAGGAGAAGAAGAAGGAGAAGGAGAAGAAGAAGGAGAAGGAGAAGAAGAAGGAGAAGGAGAAGGAGAAGAAAAAAGACAAGGAGCAAAAGAAGGAGAAGGCAGCUUCUAAUGACAACCCGAUAAAGAAAUGGUUCAAAAACCUGUUUAGAACCAAAAGAAAAUAAGGAUGGUGCUGCAGAUGGAUGAUGUGAACAGUAACUGGUGUAACAACGUGACAGUGAUCCUUCAGCACUGCUCUCCUCAGAACAACCAGAAUAUCGGCGCAUGUUUGUGUCAAACUUACGUGUCCUGAUGUCAUUCCAUUCAUCUGAAUUUGGACCGAGGACCUCCUGUGAGUCACUGAAGGGAUG